rnacentral:lncRNA from 1 species
CCAAUAGUCAGCUAUUUGGCUAGCUAUUAUGAUGUGGACAGGCAAAAAUUAAGAGAGAGAGUUGUCACUAGCGACGAGCAAAUAGCCUAUCUAUUUUACGUAGUCCAAGAAUCUAAGAGAGUGACAUGUGGAUCUAAGGCCAGUCUCAGUGGGGGUUUCACUAAGAUGUCAUGCACAUUUAUUAGAGCGCCAUGUCAGCAAAACUGCACUUUUUGCAUGAAACUAAGAGGAGAGAAGGAAGUAGUUUCACUAUGGUGAAACCCCGCGGGCGUUGUUUCCCACGCGGUGAAACGGGAUAAAAUCUCCACUGAGGGCCAAAUCGUUUCACCAUCUUGCAUGUGAUCCAAUCAUUUUGCAGCAAUUAAAUGCUUUGCUUAGCCUUAGAAACAACAAAGUGAAAUGCUUCAUUGCUACGGAUUAUUUCAUAGAUGGUUCAUUUCAAUCUUGAUGACGUGUUGGUAUGUGAAACCGUGCAGUGACACUGUCCAUUGAGACUGGCCUAACAGUACAUAUAGUCUUUGCUCUUGUCUCUCACCUCCACAUAAGCUAGCUAUGUAGUUAGCACCAUUGCGGACGCCCUUAGUCCAAAGUAAAAUGGGCGAGUUUCCAUUGUGUCAGUUUAAAGUAAAAGUAGAAAAGUUUGAGAUCAAAGUGGCUGUCCACAUCCAAGAUUAUUAUG